rnacentral:rRNA from 1 species
UAUUGGACAAUGGGCGCAAGCCUGAUCCAGCAAUGCCGCGUGUGUGAAGAAGGCCUUCGGGUUGUAAAGCACUUUUAUCAGGAGCGAAAUCGGCGUGGUCAAUACCCGCGUCGUCUGACGGUACCUGAGGAAUAAGCACCGGCUAACUUCGUGCCAGCAGCCGCGGUAAUACGAAGGGUGCAAGCGUUAAUCGGAAUUACUGGGCGUAAAGGGUGCGUAGGCGGUUCAUUAAGUCUGUUGUGAAAUCCCCGGGCUCAACCUGGGAAUGGCAAUGGAUACUGGUGAGCUAGAGUGUGUCAGAGGAUGGUGGAAUUCCCGGUGUAGCGGUGAAAUGCGUAGAGAUCGGGAGGAACAUCAGUGGCGAAGGCGGCCAUCUGGGACAACACUGACGCUGAAGCACGAAAGCGUGGGGAGCAAACA